rnacentral:rRNA from 1 species
UUUCCGUAGGUGAACCUGCGGAAGGAUCAUUAUUAAAAUGUAAAGGAGAGCACUUUAUUGUGACUCUGGAACCUUUAAAUAUAAAUUUUAAACCCAAAGCUGUUAUGUGUGCCUUUUAGGUAUAGCAUCUCAGUAGUACGUCUUGACUUGUGUUUACAUGAGUUUUGACAUUACCCCCCUUAUAAGUGACCCCCCUUUUUGUUAAUUGAUGGACUUUAAAUAAUGUUUUAAGAAUGUAAACCCCCUAAUAAUAUAACUUUUAACAAUGGAUCUCUUGGCUCUCACAUCGAUGAAGAACACAGUGAAAUGUGAUAAGUAAUGUGAAUUGCAGAAUUCAGUGAAUCAUCGAAUCUUUGAACGCACCUUGCACCUUUUGGUAUUCCAAAAGGUACACCUGUUUGAGUGUCAUGAAACCCUCUCAUUCUGAUUCUUUAUUUGAUAUAAGGAGUUGGUAUGGAUGUUGAGUGUUGCCGUCAUUGGCUCGCUUUAAAUACAUAAGUACUUUUGUCUUGAAAAAUGAAUGGAGAAAUACUUGGUGUAAUAUUUAUGUUUCAUUAAGGAGUGUGGUUUUUAUACUGCAGCCAUUUGUUUGGGAUAAAUAGCUUCCUAACCCUAUUAUAUUUAAACUUUAGACCUCAAAUCAGGUGGGACUACCCGCUGAACUUAAGCAUAUCAAUAAGCGGAGG